GGCCCAAUGAGCAGCUGUGUGUCCUGCCAGCUGCUGACAGUCAUGUUUGCUUCCCUUGAAGUGUGGCUAGUUCCUGGCAACGUUGAAGCUGAUUAAAACUCUUCACAAGAUCAGUUGAUUAAUCAGGACAACAGCAACAUUGAUCAGCAGGAACUAGAACAUAUGGAAGAUGAGCAUACAGGAUGACAGCCCUAGGAACUUUAUGCUCAGCCCCUGACAAUUAUAUCAUACUCUUUGUGUGCCCAGAUGAGGUCAAUUCUGCUGAUGGAAAAAGAAAACAGAAAAUUUCUGAAACAGAAUUUGUGAAUA